GCCAGGUGUGAUGGAGCACACCUGUGGUCCCAGCUACUCGGGAGGCUGAGGCAGGAGGAUUACGAGUUCAGGGCCAGCUGGGCAAUGUAGAAAGACCCUGUCUCAA
rnacentral:sRNA from 1 species